AAACUCAAAGGAAUUGACGGGGACCCGCACAAGCAGCGGAGCAUGUGGUUUAAUUCGAAGCAACGCGAAGAACCUUACCAAGGCUUGACAUCCUCUGACAGCCGUAGAAAUACGGUUUCCCUUCGGGGCAGAGAGACAGGUGGUGCAUGGUUGUCGUCAGCUCGUGUCGUGAGAUGUUGGGUUAAGUCCCGCAACGAGCGCAACCCUUAUCAUUAGUUGCCAGCACGAAAGGUGGGAACUCUAAUGAGACUGCCGGGGAUAACUCGGAGGAAGGUGGGGACGACGUCAAAUCAUCAUGCCCCUUAUGUCUUGGGCUACACACGUGCUACAAUGGCCGGUACAAAGGGCUGCGAAGCCGUAAGGUGGAGCGAAUCCCAUAAAGCCGGUCUCAGUUCGGAUCGUGGGCUGCAACCCGCCCACGUGAAGCCGGAGUUGCUAGUAAUCGCGAAUCAGCAUGUCGCGGUGAAUGCGUUCCCGGGUCUUGUACACACCGCCCGUCACACCAUGGGAGUUGGGAGCGCCCGAAGCCAGUGAGCUAACCAGCAAUGGAGGCAGCUGUCGAAGGUGAGACCAAUGACU
rnacentral:rRNA from 1 species